UACAGAGGGCGCGAGCGUUUGUCCGGAAUCACUGGGCGUAAAGGGCGCGUAGGUGGCGGCAUAAGGCCGCGGUGAAAGUCUGGGGGCUCAACCCCCAGAUCGGCCGCGGCGACUGUGUCGCUCGAGCACGGUAGAGGCAGAUGGAAUUCCGGGUGUAGCGGUGGAAUGCGUAGAGAUCCGGAAGAACACCAGUGGCGAAGGCGGUUCUCUGGGCAUGUUCUGACGCUGAGGAGCGAAAGUGUGGGGAGCGGAACAGG
rnacentral:rRNA from 1 species